rnacentral:misc_RNA from 1 species
UUUCCGUAGGUGAACCUGCGGAAGGAUCAUUAAAGAGAAUAUGCCCUUCGGGGUAGAUCUCCCACCCUUUGUUUAUAUUACCUUUGUUGCUUUGGCAGGCCCGUCUUCGGAUCACCGGCUUCGGCUGGUCAGUGCUUGCCAGAGGACCCAAAACUCUUAUUAUUAAUGUCGUCUGAGUACUAUAUAAUAGUUAAAACUUUCAACAACGGAUCUCUUGGUUCUG